rnacentral:misc_RNA from 1 species
CUGUAUUUACACUAUCCCUUGCUCCACCUUUUCACUUCUACAUUACAAAAUCUAAUCGAGGUACCUGUGAUUUCCAUCCAAACAAUUUUGUAGAUAUCCAAAUCCUAAAAGCAAGCCCAACUUCACAUCCUCCAACGAUGAUGGAAAAGAACAAAAAAAGGAAGAGCAAUGCGUUGCACCAGUGUCAUGUGUCCAUGUCCAUCACCUGCGGCGCCUCCGGUCGGCGGCGUACUGCGAGAGCGGGACGAGCUCGGAGAGCGGCGUGGCGAGCGGCGUGGCAUUGGGCGUCGGGACGGGAGAGGACCUGCAGACGGGGCAGGACGCGCUCCGGCUCAGCCAGGCGUCGAGGCACGCGACGUGGAAGCCGUGCCUGCACUCGGGCAUCACGCGCAGCGUCUCGCCGUCCCUGUACUCGCUGAGGCAGAUGGAGCACAUGGCGUCGGCCUCGGCGGCCCUGCUGGAGAAGGCGACCUUGGGGUAGGAAGCGAUGGCGGCCGCGUCGAGCCCGACGGGGGAGCAGGCCGCGGCGGCGGCGGAGGAGGGGUAAGCGUCGUCUUCGGGGGACUCGGACCCCUCCGCGACGAAGAGCACGCGCGGGACGGUGAUGGAGAGGUGGCCGGAGCUGGACGCCGUGGUGACUGCUUCC